ensembl:lncRNA
CAACACUACAAGAGCUUUGCGUAUUUUGUUUUCCUAGUUUAAAAAAUAAAUAAGAAUAAAACAUGUUCAGGAAAUAUCAGGACAUCUGGGUCUCGGUGGUGGUUGACUUUCAGUCCUGGGAGAGCAGUUGGGGCUAAGGAAGGCUAAGCCAAUCGCUGCUGGUUGGUGACUUGCUUGAAAAGCCAGCGUUGCACUGGAGCAGCCAGCUAGGGCCAUGAGCCAGGGCUUCCUCCUCCCUCUGUGGACCAGAGCCAAAAUGGAGGUUUAGCCCAGACAGACGCUGAGCAAGUGUUCAGUGCUGCGGGUCCUCUGCCUAGGCAUGGAGUGGUGUUGGCUGCAGACUGGAUGACAGGGUCUUCAGGGAGAGCCGACGCGCGUCCCCCUGCACAGACACCCAACCCCCUAACUGACCACCGCUGAUCUGUUACCGCGGUGACACUGAAGUACAGCCUCACUCCUGCAACCACAGCAGAACCCCCACCCCCCCUCUUUUUCCUCAUCCCCCUCUAUCUGGACUCUCCUGACCCCCCUUCCUCCUCCUCUCCUUACCCCCCCCCCUUCCCUCCUCCUUUCCUG